CUGUAUGGAUCAUUGUGUACUUUCCGAGAGACCAUUUAUUCGCGAUCAAAUGAGCCACGGUCCUUGUUCAUAGACCCGCCACGAUACGAUGAACCGUUUGUUACAAGCUUGCCUCAGUUCCAGCAACGCUGCGCGGGUUCCUCUGGUUUGGUUUGGGAAACAUGUCUCACCUGCGAACCGUCCCGGAUUCGUUGGAAUCCGUUCAAAUUGUGGAGUUGAUAGAUUACUUCACCUGGAAUUAUCAUCAAAAUGGAAGUCAUGUUAUUGGUUCAAUACAUAUUCGGAAGCCGAAGAUCUGUUGAGCAAAACGUGUGUACCAUGUAAUGCGAAGGACAUUUCGUCGAUGUCAGAACAAUCAGCUCAUGAGCUAAUUCCAAAGGUACCAGGAUGGGACCUCUCAAGUGAAGGUGGCACCUUGAAACUUCAUAGAUCCUGGAAAGUGAAGAGUUUCACCAAAGGGUUAGAGUUCUUUCAGCUUGUGGCGGAUGUUGCAGAGGCAGAGGGUCACCAUCCUGAUCUUCAUCUUGUUGGCUGGAAUAAUGUGAAAAUUGAGAUAUGGACACAUUCAGUUGGUAUGAUGUUGAUCUGGUGGGCUUACAGAGAAUGACUUCAUACUUGCUGCGAAGAUCAAUGCUCUUGACAUUGAACCACUUUUACGGCGAAGGGCAGCCAAACACUAGUUUAGAAAUGCAUAGCUCCGAAACAGGACAUUUUCCAGUUAAAAUAAAGAAGCCAAUCUUCUUUACUGAAGCACUUAUAGCAUACAAUAUACACAUGUGAGGUGUUAUGACAACUGUUGUAAAAUGGUUGAAAGGUAAUUUUGCCUUGCUUGUGUACCUUCUUUUUUUUUUUUUUUUUGUUGUAAAUGUGAGCAUACAAUAUAAAUCAUUUUGCCUUGCUUGUGUACAUGUGAGCAUACAAUAUAAAUCGUUUUGUUUUGCUUGUGUAACGGAUACAAGGAACCUGUAAUAUUCUAGCACAAGUGGAAGAAGAAAAUAUAUAUUUUGUGGAAGAAGAUAAUAGCGUAGAAUCCAUUUAGUGGUCCAUCCCAUAGUAAGUCUCCUAUUCAAACAUGAUUAAAAAAAAAA